CCUGGGCUUUUGCAGUAUCUAAGAAUAAAUAAACAAGAACACUUAUUUCAUUUCAGGAGUGCAGACCUCUCUGCUUUGAUAGAAGAAGCUUCUCUCUGCACUGAGAUUAGAACUAGCAAGGCUGAUGAGGGAAAUGGAAAAGGUCAACUCAAGAUUAGUCAUACUUUGUAGAAGCUUUCAAGAAAGUGAAACCAUCUAUGUCAGGAAAGGGUCAAAUUAUGUAUGAAGCUCUGCAUCGCUCCCUCAGCCAGGGACAUAUCCAGCAGCUGGCUUGGAGGAGUCCAGCCAUCAAACCAGCAGAAAAGACCACCUGCCCUGAGGUACUCAGUUUCAGCUUGACACAGAUGUGGCCUCAUUUUCAGGUGUGUUUCUUGGGAUAAAACCCCAUUAUAAGUGAAAGAACAUCAUCUAUAUACAAUCCGAAAAGGCAGAAAACUAAUCAUCACCAUUAGAAACCAGGUGGAUGGUUAUUUUUGGAAGGGAGCACGAUGUGAAAUGGCUCCUGGAGUACUGGCUGCACUUUCCUGAUCAGUGAUGGUUGGACUUGCAUGCUUCCUUCAUGAGAGUUCUUGGUGCCAGAGGCUCAUCUGGGCUCUUUUCUGCAAGUAUGUUCUCUAGCAUUUAAAAAAAGGUAAAAAACUGAAGCCAGUUAUGGUGGUAUGUACAACUCUUGAUUCUUCCACUGAUUUUGAAAAAAGAGUCAAAAGUGUCAGGAGAGUCUGAGUUGAAAUUUUAGGUUUCUUAAAAGUAAAGAACACUAUAAAGCACGUUAGAGGCUAAACUAGGCAGCGUUCCUGCCCCUUCCCUCCACCCUCAGUGUCAGGCAUGCUAUUAUAUUAUCCUGCACCUUGAUAGCAGUGAGAAAAUUAGGUCGGGGGAGCAAACAGUGGUUGGAUGUUGUUAAUUGGAUUGGCCUGCUUCAAAUGCCAUUCUCUCUUCCUGGGCAAACUCCAUUUGUGAACAUGAACUUCAAAGACUUAUGCAUCCUGCAAGGUUACCUGGGUAAAUGUCACCUUCUGGAAUGUUCUUUAGAUAGCAUGUGACAAUGUGCAAUCUGCUCCGUCUUCCAAGUAAGCCUUGCCCCUGACGGGAAAAAGGAAUGACACAGCAAGGUUUGUUCCAGAGAACUCUUCCUUAGAAGUGAAACUAAAAAAUCCAUGUGACAUCACAGUCAUUCAGUCUUCCAAGUCCACAGUGUCAGGAUGGGAAAACCAGAUGGACUUCAGGAGCUUCCCUCCACCUCCAUCUGCACAGCUGCUCUGCUUCCACAUCCACCUCACCCAGGUAGAGAUCUUCAGUACUAUUGAUUGGUCCUCAGUCACUGAUUAUUUAGAAAUGUUCCUGAAAUCCGUCCCCUUGGUUCUCACAGCACCACCCUAGCAUAGGCUGUCACCACCUUUCACGACUCCCACUGUGGCUCCCAGCUCGUCUCUGCCAGUCUCCUGCACACUGACAUCAGGUUGCCUUUCCUAAAUAUAAACGGAUGAUGUCACUGUCUCCUGAAUAGCCCUCAGCGUCUUGAGUUCAUCAUCUGAUGGCACAUGGACUUUGUAACCGCCAACAGCACACCUUUGGCACCUGGCCCUCCUCCUUCCUUGACUAGAUUUAUUGCCUUUCCUUUAAAACACCAUGUUCUUUCACAUCUGGGCUUUUGCUCCUCUUCCCGGAAUGCCUCCUCCUUACCUGCCACAGGGCCAGCUUUCACUGAAAUAUCAUCACCUGAGAAACUUUGCCCUGUCCCUCUGCUUUCUGCACAAUCUGCAUUUUGUGCCGACCUCACCACUCCUAUAUGUUGGCUGUUUUAAGCACUAGAUUGAGACUCUCAUUGGCAGGGUCCCUGCUCUUGUGUAUAUCUGUAGCAGUUGACAAUAGAAUGAAGUUGUUUUUUAAUUAGAAAACAGAAUCAGUUAAUCCUGAGGCACAAAGUGGUUAAUAUUGGAGAGAUUUGAUGGAACUGGCAUCUUAAGGCUGCCUGAAGAGAAGCUAGCCAGAUUUUGGAGAAGCUUCCUCUGAUGUUAGUCAUUGCUGGUUGGAACAGCGGUAGCAAUUCUAUUCUGCUGUGGGGUCAAUGGGCCUGUGAUGGUCAGAAUAUUCAAAAGAAAGUGUUUCUAAGAUCCUUACCUACAUAAGCAUUCUGUAAAACAGACAGCUUGAAAGAGAAAAUUGUAGAUAUUUAUUACAACUGACAUUCUAACUAACUUCUUUUGUACAGACAGCAAAACCUGCUCUCCCACUCUGGCUGAUCCUGAGCCUUGUAAGCAGAUAAUAGGUCAUCUUUUCAAACUCCAGGAGGUUUUUCUAGCUUAUCAUUGCCAAAACUGGAUUUGUGAACAUCAACUUAAAAGUACACCAAAACUGAAUGCAUGAUUGAACUAUUACCAAUGUUUUCAAAUAAAACACUCUUCUGCUAAAUGAAAACUAUUUUGCUAAAUGAGACCCUAUCUGAAAAAAAAAAGGCUGGGGUAUGUUGCCCAGCCAAAUAUGAUUCCCCCAUGUGCCUUGUCACCCAGCUUUACCAAUGACCACCUUACACACAUCUUGUUUCAUCUUUUUUUUUUAACUGUGAAGGAAGUUUUA